rnacentral:tRNA from 1 species
AGGUGGGUGGCGUAAAAUUAGCGUGUGCGAUUUCGGCUCGUAAGGAGUAAGGGUUUACCUCACUUU